rnacentral:rRNA from 1 species
GAUGAACGCUGGCGGCGUGCCUAAUACAUGCAAGUCGAGCGAACGGACGAGAAGCUUGCUUCUCUGAUGUUAGCGGCGGACGGGUGAGUAACACGUGGAUAACCUACCUAUAAGACUGGGAUAACUUCGGGAAACCGGAGCUAAUACCGGAUAAUAUUUUGAACCGCAUGGUUCAAAAGUGAAAGACGGUCUUGCUGUCACUUAUAGAUGGAUCCGCGCUGCAUUAGCUAGUUGGUAAGGUAACGGCUUACCAAGGCAACGAUGCAUAGCCGACCUGAGAGGGUGAUCGGCCACACUGGAACUGAGACCCGGUCCAGACUCCUACGGGAGGCAGCAGUAGGGAAUCUUCCGCAAUGGGCGAAAGCCUGACGGAGCAACGCCGCGUGAUUGAUGAAGGUCUUCGGAUCGUAAAACUCUGUUAUUAGGGAAGAACAUAUGUGUAAGUAACUGUGCACAUCUUGACGGUACCUAAUCAGAAAGCCACGGCUAACUACGUG